rnacentral:lncRNA from 1 species
GAAAGUCAUCCUGCUGACUGCAGGAUGUGGGAUCUCUCCGCCAUUGAGGAAGUGAAAGCAGCUAAACCAGUGAGUGUGACUAUGUUCCAAUAAAACUUUACUUAUAAAAACAGGCUACAGGCCAGAUUUGGCCUAUGGGCUUAUUUUACUGACUCUGAUCUAGAACAUAGUAGGUAUGCAAAAAAUAUUAGCUGAAUAAAUGAAAAAAAUUGAUUUUUUAAAAAUUCUAAUAUUCCCACUAUAUUCUGUUCUCUUUUUCAGUGUGUGUGGUAUCUAGAUGAUACCCAUGUGACAACUGGAGACUGUGCAUGACGGAUGACUUAGGUAACUUCUGGAGGGCACCUACAUUGUGACCAUAAACCACUGUGCCCAUGUGGAAAUCAUUGCAGUCCUGGGGCAAAAGAUAAACUUCAUGCUUGAUACAAAACAACCAAAAGAAGACAAUGAAGAAAACAUUUCCUUCUCUCCUUGGUGCUUGCCUGCCUUCUUCACCAAUAUACCAGAGUUACGGCACGCACUGCUCUGUCCUUCACAAGGCAAUUAAAUAUGACGGCAUCGGCAGUCCUUGCACAAACUGUGGAACGCUUGCUCUGUUGUGUUGCAGAGUAAACAUCACCAUGCAGAGCUGCUGGCAAGGAUUCUGA